GUAGGGAAUAUUGGGCAAUGGUCGGAAGACUGACCCAGCCAUGCCGCGUGCAGGAAGACGGCCCUCUGGGUUGUAAACUGCUUUUAUCUGGGAAGAAAAAGGCCAUGCGUGGCAAAUUGCCGGUACCAGAUGAAUAAGCACCGGCUAACUCCGUGCCAGCAGCCGCGGUAAUACGGAGGGUGCGAGCGUUGUCCGGAUUGAUUGGGUUUAAAGGGUGCGUAGGCGGCUGAUUAAGGCAGCGGUGAAAGACUUCGGCUUAACCGGAGCAGUGCCGUUGAUACUGGUUGGCUUGAGUGUCGGAGGGGUACAUGGAAUUGAUGGUGUAGCGGUGAAAUGCAUAGAUACCAUCAGGAACACCGAUAGCGAAGGCAUUGUACUGGCCGACAACUGACGCUGAUGCACGAAAGUGUGGGGAUCGAACAGGAUUAGAAACCCGAGUAGUCC
rnacentral:rRNA from 1 species